GACGAACGCUGGCGGCGUGCCUAAUACAUGCAAGUCGAACGAAGUGGCGAACGGGUGAGUAACGCGUAAUCAACCUGCCCUUCAGAGGGGGACAACAGUUGGAAACGACUGCUAAUACCGCAUACUGAAGAGGGGGUUUGCGUCUGAUUAGCUAGUUGGAGGGGUAACGGCCCACCAAGGCGAUGAUCAGUAGCCGGUCUGGAAGGGUGAACGGCCAAAAUGGGAAUGAGACAAGGCCCAGACUCCUACGGGAGGCAGCAGUGGGGAAAUUUCCGAAAUGGACGAAAGUCUGACGGAGCAACGCCGCGGGAGUUAUGACGGCCUUCGGGUUGUAAAGCUCUGUUAAUCGGGACGCGGUACCGGAAUAGAAAGCCACGGCUAACUACGUGCCAGCAGCCGCGGUAAUAC
rnacentral:rRNA from 1 species